UUGAACGCUGGCGGCAUGCCUUACACAUGCAAGUCGAACGGCAGCACGGGGGCAACCCUGGUGGCGAGUGGCGAACGGGUGAGUAAUACAUCGGAACGUGCCCUGAAGUGGGGGAUAACGUAGCGAAAGUUACGCUAAUACCGCAUAUUCUGUGAGCAGGAAAGCAGGGGAUCGCAAGACCUUGCGCUUUAGGAGCGGCCGAUGUCGGAUUAGCUAGUUGGUGAGGUAAAGGCUCACCAAGGCGACGAUCCGUAGCGGGUCUGAGAGGAUGAUCCGCCACACUGGGACUGAGACACGGCCCAGACUCCUACGGGAGGCAGCAGUGGGGAAUUUUGGACAAUGGGCGCAAGCCUGAUCCAGCCAUGCCGCGUGAGUGAAGAAGGCCUUCGGGUUGUAAAGCUCUUUCAGACGGAAAGAAAUCGGGCGCGUGAAUAGCGUGCCUGGAUGACGGUACUGUCAGAAGAAGCACCGGCUAACUACGU
rnacentral:rRNA from 1 species